rnacentral:rRNA from 1 species
CGUAGGGACCAAGCGUUGUUCGGAUUUACUGGGCGUAAAGGGCGCGUAGGCGGCGCGGUAAGUCACUUGUGUAAUCUCUGAGCUUAACUCAGAACGGCCAAGUGAUACUGCAGUGCUAGAGUGUGGAAGGGGCGAUCGGAAUUCUUGGUGUAGCGGUGAAACGCGUAGAUAUCAAGAGGAACACCUGAGGUGAAGACGGGUUGCUGGGCCAACACUGACGCUGAGGCGCGAAAGCCAGGGGAGCAAACGGGAUUAGAUACCCCGGUAGUCCUGGCCCUAAACGAUGAAUACUUGGUGUCUGGAGUUUUAAUGCUCCGGGUGCCGUCGCUAACGUUUUUAGUAUUCCGCCUGGGGGGUACGCUCGCAAGAGUG